UUAGCCUUCUCCAUGGCCGACCAUGGAUUCCUCGGCGGCCCUCCACGCCCACGAAUGGCGGUCAGUGCUGAGUGGAAUGGGACCUCUUGGUCCAUCUCUAAACGUUCCGAAGAUGGUGUUUUCAUGGCCCACCGCAACGAAAGAGAAAAAAUGGAAAGCCCCCUUUCGGUUCCUUGCUCCCUUCCACGGCCACUGGCCGAACCCCCAAGGGUUCAGCGGCCUCCAAAUCGGCUAGGGAACGCCGG
rnacentral:lncRNA from 1 species